rnacentral:tRNA from 1 species
GCGGAAGUGGCGGAAUGGCAGACGCACCAGACUAAGGAUCUGGCGGGUAACCCCCGUGGAGGUUCGAAUCCUCUCUUCCGCA